rnacentral:rRNA from 1 species
CGCUGGCGGCGUGCCUAACACAUGCAAGUCGAACGAGGUCCAAGGAAGCUUGCUUCCUGAAGACCUAGUGGCGAACGGGUGAGUAACACGUGAGAAACCUGCCUCGGAGUGGGGAAUAACUCGGGGAAACUCGAGCUAAUACCGCGUACCUUCACAUGAUCGCAUGGUCGAGUGAAGAAAGAAUUUCGCUCUGAGAGGGUCUCGCGGCCUAUCAGCUUGUUGGUGGGGUAACGGCCUACCAAGGCAACACGGGUAGCUGGUUUGAGAGAACGAUCAGCCACACUGGGACUGAGACACGGCCCAGACUCCUACGGGAGGCAGCAGUGGGGAAUCUUGCGCAAUGGGCGAAAGCCUGACGCAGCAACGCCGCGUGCGGGAUGACGGCCUUCGUGGUUGUAAACCGCUUUCAGCAGGGACGAAAAUGACGGUACCUGCAGAAGAAGCCCCGGCUAACUACGUG